GGGGUUGUGGCUCAGUGGCAGAGCACUUGCUUAGCAUGUAUGAGGCACUGAGUUCCAUUCUCAGUACCG
rnacentral:tRNA from 1 species